GGAGGACACUGCGGCUGUACUUUGUCCCCUUAUGGGAAGUAUAUCCUUCCUCACCUGCCAUUCACCAGCACUCUCCUCCAGGUGUGCACCAGCUCCUGCCCGAAGCCUCAGGAGGUCCUCUGCAUAAGAGGCUGCAGGAGCCAAAUGGGCCUUCCAGCCUUGUCCAAUAUUAUGGAGUCCCGAGGUGUGGAGUGUAUUCUGUGGGCCCAAGAAACAGCAACAGAUCCCCAGAACAGAUGACAGCCCUAAAGAAAGGCUGCUUUCCUGAGCAUCCCUGGGGCUAGAAAGAGUGUGGAUCAGGUGCUUCCUAUUGGGCUGGGC
rnacentral:lncRNA from 1 species